GGGAUGCAUUGUGUACCCAACAUUACGAGUUCUGUAAAUUGUUUGUUUUGUUUCGUUUUGCAGUUUGUGGUGCUCCGAAACGAAGAUUUAGGGCAUAUGCACCUGAUGUAUCCAAAAAUGCCAAUGCCACGGAUGUCCGAAAAGCCCGCAAGGCAGAGCUCCAGAGAGAUGAAGCUAUUGGGAAAGCAUUGCCUAUUGCAAUUGUGAUUGGGGUUGCUGCACUGGCUGGUUUAUACUUUUACCUCAACAGCACUUACUGAGUUUGCAUGACAGCCACCACCAAGCUGGACUUCUAGAAUGGAGAGUUAUUCUUGUAAUUCCCUUUUUGGUUUCAAUUUUGUUGUUCAUAAAACUUGUAAUGCAUUGUAUGUUCCAGCUCUGCUCUGCCCUUCCCAGAGCUGAAUUGUCAAUUUUCUUGGAGAAAAAAUUCAAAAUCCAUGAGGAAUGUAAAAAAAAUAGAUUUCAUUAAGCCACAUACCUUGUAUGGGCCUAAGCUUAAUAAUGCAUUAGUUGAUCAAAUAUGCAUUUUAUCUAA